AAACCAGCACCUCAAGUGGUCAGGAGGAUUAUUGGGCCUAAAGCAUCCGUAGCCUGUUCUGUAAGUUUUCGGUUAAAUCCAUUAGCUCAACUAAUGGGCCGCCGAAAAUACUGUAGAACUAGGGAGUGGGAGAGGUAGACGGUAUUCGGUAGGAAGGGGUAAAAUCCUUUGAUCUAUUGAGGACCACCUGUGGCGAAGGCGGUCUACCAGAACACGUUCGACGGUGAGGGAUGAAAGCUGGGGGAGCAAACCGGAUUAGAAACCCGUGUAGUCC
rnacentral:rRNA from 1 species